GAUGAAGAACGCAGCGAAAUGCGAUAAGUAAUGUGAAUUGCAGAAUUCAGUGAAUCAUCGAAUCUUUGAACGCACAUUGCGCCCCCCAGUAUUCUGGCGGGCAUGCCUGUUCGGGCGUCAUUUCAACCAUCAAGCCCUGCUUGUGUUGGGGUCCUGCGGCUGCCCGCAGGCCCUGAAAACCAGUGGCGGGCUCGCUAGUCACACCGAGCGCAGUAGCACAUCUCGCUCAGGGCGUGCGGCGGGCUCCAGCCGUUAAAGCACCCACCUUUCGCAAGGUUGACCUCGGAUCAGGUAGGAAUACCCGCUGAACUUAAGCAUAUCAAUAAGCGGAGGA
rnacentral:misc_RNA from 1 species